rnacentral:rRNA from 1 species
AAUGAACGCUGGCGGCAUGCCUAACACAUGCAAGUCGAACGGAAGCACGGUAAGCGCUUGCUCUUACCGUUGGCGACUGGCGGGUGAUUCACGCGUAUAUCCCCUACUUAUUUUUCGGGGAGGACUACGGAACAGCUAAUACGAUACCAGAGCAUAUGUUGAACGGGGGGGAGCAAGAGAUCUUAGCACCUUGCGUGGGUCGAUUAGCGGCUGCCGUAUUAGCUAGUUGGGUGGGUAAAGGCCCACCAAGGCGACGCUACGCAGCUGGUCUGAGAGGGUGAUCGGCCACACUGGAACUGAGACACGGUCCAGACUCCUACGGGAGGCAGCAGUGGGGAAUAUUGGACAAUGGGCGCAAGCCUGAUCCAGCAAUGCCGCGUGUGUGAAGAAGGCCUUCGGGUUGUAAAGCCCUUUUGUUGGGAAAGAAAAGCUGCAGGUUAAUACCUGGCGGUUCUGACGGUACCGAAAGAAUAAGCACCGGCUAACUACGUG